AAGUCGUAACAAGGUUUCCGUAGGUGAACCUGCGGAAGGAUCAUUAGCACGUGAAAACGUCAUUUCUCUCAACCCGUGAACUUCACAACCUAUCAAAGACAUACUGUUUCAUAGGAUAUGUAGUAGGAUAUAUUGAGUGUGUAAACACUCUUAUAUGCAAUCUUAUGAAACUGAGGCUUCGAGCCUAAGGUAUUCUUUGUUUAGGCUAUUUUUUCCCCCUAUUACGAAAACCUUUAAUCUAACCUAUUUCACCCUAUUUAACCAAUAUGACUGAUUGUAGUUGAUGGUAAAGAAAUUUACUAGUUCAACACAAGUUUAUCUAAACUAAGCACAACUCUUAGCAAUGGAUAUCUUGGUUCUC
rnacentral:misc_RNA from 1 species